GGAUGCCAUGGGUCCAUCUCUCUGAAACUAAUGGGGCAGUCAAGAGGGGAUGCUGUGGAGGAGGAGGAGUGCUUUCUACAAAGGUGUUGAGGUCUGUGCCUAAGCUACCAUGAUUUGAGGGGUACUGUGUUCUUAUGGUCUUCUCCUGUCUCACACAGCCCAGGGCUCUACCAGUUGACUUUUUUGUCCCUUCUUCUUGGCUCUGGGGAAGCCUGCACCCUCUCUCUACUACAACAGGGACCUACUGACUGCUUACUCCAUCCCACCCACAGCUUGGGCUCUAUUCUCAAUAGAGCAUCUCCCAGCCCUAGUCCUGGAGGUGAAAUGGAUACUUCUGGGCUUCUUUCUGCCACUAUAGGGUGGAUUGGGUUCCUGCAAUACAGCUGACCUCCAGAUGG
rnacentral:lncRNA from 1 species